rnacentral:rRNA from 1 species
GAUGAACGCUAGCUACCGGCUUAACACAUGCAAGUCGAGGGGCAGCAUGGUCUUAGCUUGCUAAGGCCGAUGGCGACCGGCGCACGGGUGAGUAACACGUAUCCAACCUGCCGUCUACUCUUGGACAGCCUUCUGAAAGGAAGAUUAAUACAAGAUGGCAUCAUGAGUCCGCAUGUUCACAUGAUUAAAGGUAUUCCGGUAGACGAUGGGGAUGCGUUCCAUUAGAUAGUAGGCGGGGUAACGGCCCACCUAGUCUUCGAUGGAUAGGGGUUCUGAGAGGAAGGUCCCCCACAUUGGAACUGAGACACGGUCCAAACUCCUACGGGAGGCAGCAGUGAGGAAUAUUGGUCAAUGGGCGAGAGCCUGAACCAGCCAAGUAGCGUGAAGGAUGACUGCCCUAUGGGUUGUAAACUUCUUUUAUAAAGGAAUAAAGUCGGGUAUGCAUACCCGUUUGCAUGUACUUUAUGAAUAAGGAUCGGCUAACUCCGUGCCAGCAGCCGCGGUAAUACGGAGGAUCCGAGCGUUAUCCGGAUUUAUUGGGUUUAAAGGGAGCGUAGAUGGAUGUUUAAGUCAGUUGUGAAAGUUUGCGGCUCAACCGUAAAAUUGCAGUUGAUACUGGAUAUCUUGAGUGCAGUUGAGGCAGGCGGAAUUCGUGGUGUAGCGGUGAAAUGCUUAGAUAUCACGAAGAACUCCGAUUGCGAAGGCAGCCUGCUAAGCUGCAACUGACAUUGAGGCUCGAAAGUGUGGGUAUCANACAGG